rnacentral:rRNA from 1 species
GGGGUGAGUAAUGCCUAGGAAUCUGCCUGGUAGUGGGGGACAACGUUUCGAAAGGAACGCUAAUACCGCAUACGUCCUACGGGAGAAAGCAGGGGACCUUCGGGCCUUGCGCUAUCAGAUGAGCCUAGGUCGGAUUAGCUAGUUGGUGAGGUAAUGGCUCACCAAGGCGACGAUCCGUAACUGGUCUGAGAGGAUGAUCAGUCACACUGGAACUGAGACACGGUCCAG